rnacentral:rRNA from 1 species
AAAGUUCAGGGGUAAACGGAAAAGACCCGAAAUUUCCGAAAGGGGAGAUUCACGUCUUCUCGCUGGCUCGACUCCUCGUCCAUUGUCGACGGUUCUAUGCCUCAUUCGAACUUGUUCGGAGCGAGUGGUGGGACCGCCGUGGUCGAGGGUGUAGGGUCGCGGCAGACCGCACUUCUCCCCUAGUAGGACGUCGUGACCCGUCCGGUCAUGGUCUAAGAGUGUGUAUGGGAGCCUGUUUGUGCUGUUUCGGCAGUUCACGAGCAGACCUUCGCAUUUCUGGCCAUGAAUGCUCCGGUCGGUAUCAAAAGACAGUGUUGGACCGCUCUUCUGGGGGAGAAAUCCUUUCUUGAGAGCGCGAUUGGUCCUUGGCAAGGUAGUGAGUCGCGUUAGUCAAGACGGGCCUACGUCCGUCUGACUGCUCUCACUCCUGUUGGUCGAGGUACUCUAUCGCCGGUCAAAAAUUAUGGCACUAGUCUACGGCGAAUCAGUUUUGGGCUCUUGUCCGACCCGUCUUGAAACACGGACCAAGGAGUUUAGCGUGUACGCGAGUCAUUGAGUGUUAAAACUCAUAGGCGAAAUGAAAGUGAAGGGAACUUUACGUUUCUGAGGGAAGAUGAGACGGUUUCUUAUCCAAGAGCCUCUCCGCACUCCCGGGGCGUCUCUAUCUCAUUGCGAGAGGAGGCGCACCUAUAGCGUACACGCUGAUACCCGAAAGAUGGUGAACUAUGCCUGGCCAGGACGAAGCCAGGGGAAACCCUGGUGGAGGUCCGCAGCGAUUCUGACGUGCAAAUCGAUCGUCGGAGCUGGGUUUAGGGGCGAAAGACCAAUCGAACCAUCUAGUAGCUGGUUCCCUCUGAAGUUUCCCUCAGGAUAGCUUGCGCUCGGACGAGACGAGUCUCAUCCGGUAGAGCGAAUGAUUAGAGGCCUUGGGGUCGAAACGACCUCAACCUAUUCUCAAACUCCAAAUAGAUGAGAACCCUGGCUUUCUUAAACUAUGAAGCCAAGGGGUUUCGGAUCAGAGUGCCAAGUGGGCCAAUUUUGGUAAGCAGAAGUGGCGCUGUGGGAUA